rnacentral:lncRNA from 1 species
UGGAGCCAAAGUGUAAGAAUCACAAGGGGGGGGGCGGAGUGGAGACCGUCGCUUUUGGUUGCCUUGCUUUUGUCUCACUUUUACUGCCUGCACAUCCCUUCUGGUACACAGUGGGAAAUGACAUCCUUCCCUCAAUCAAAACAUAAAAUCUUCCAAAAGAAAAACAAAACAAAACAAAACAAAAACUGAAGCCAAAAUGCCAAUGGAUAAAAGACUUUGCACUUGAGUCUGGUUUUGUGUGAAUCAGGAAAUUAUCCGCCCAAAGCCCAAGCUGGAAAAUUUACAGCCAGGACUUUCCUAAUCUAUGGGGGCAACUGUGUCAUAAUACCAUAGACUGGGUGGCUUACACAACAGGGAUUUAUUUCUCACAGUCUGGAGGCUGGGAAGUUCAAGGUCAAGAUUUAAGGGAGCUCUCUGGGAUUUCAUUUUUAUAAGGAUUCUGUCCCCAUUAUGAGGGCACUAUCCUCAUGACCUAAUCUCUUCCUAAAAAGUCCCACCUCUAAUCCCAUCACCACAUCCUGGGUUAGAAAACCAGUAUGUAAAUUUUAAGGGAAACAAAUAUUUAACUUGAGCAGGGACAUAAAUGCUCACGGAAAGAGCAUCAGGGACUCCUGGGAUGUUUCUCUCAAAAACAUCAUUUUUUUUUUCUGUCAAGUCUUGUCUCUCUUAAUUGUUUUCUUCCUAUGGGGCUAGGGAUAAUGGAAUAUCCUGGUCAGUGAUGGGGCCUGCCUAUAUCAGUCUCCACUUCAUUUUUCCUGCAUCUCAGGUAUGCACUUAGCCCCUGGUGAGGCAGCUAUUGAACAGCACUGUUAUACUCUUUUUCUUUUUUCUUUUGCAGUGCUGGGGAUUGAACCCAGAGCCUCAUUGAUGCAUGGAACUGAGCCACAUCCCCAGUCCAUUAUUGUUCUCCUUAUUGAGGUCUAGAGCUUUGCUUCUGCUAAGUAGGAAGCCACCAUCUUGUUAGUAUUGAGGCAACCUGGAAUACAGUUAUAUCUAUCUAUUCCUUGCUUCUCUUCUCUUGCAGGAUUUUUGUUUGUUUGUUUGUUUUUGUUUGUUUGUUUGUUUGUUUUUGGAAAAGCUAAAAUUGAGGACUUUAUUUUAUAGGUGACUUCAGAAACAUACCUCUGAAUCAAACAGUGUUGUUUUUCUGGGUAAAUUUCUGAAGUCUCUUGCUCUGGUCAAGGGAAAACUCCCUUUUCCAGGGGGAUUUGGGACUUUAGGAGACCCCCCCCUUUUUUUGGCAUAUCCCCAGCUCCAUCAUCCCUCACUCCUGCCUGAGCCUUUAUCCCCAAACUCUAAAUUCAUCCUCAUGCAUAAUUUCUCAAAAUCCUAAUCGCUGCAUGAAUUGUCCUUCCAAAGACCCUGACUUUCUCUGCAAUUCUAUUUAUGUAGUGCUGAAGAUUGUUUUGAUUUGGGAUUUGACUUCCAAAUCAGCCACGGGGUUCCAAGAAGCAUGAACAACCUGCAGGAUUCUUGUCACAUCUGCAUAUCUCCUAUGCUAUAUUUUACUUAUCAUUUUUUCCUAAAUCAACUCACUUUCCCCUCUCUCAAGUACAUUUAUUUCAAAAGCCUUUGUGUGUGUGUGUGUGUGUGUGUGUGUGUGUGUGUGUGUGUGGUGUGUGCUGGGAUUGAACCUAUGGGUGCUUAACCACU